UACGAAGGGAGCUAGCGUUGUUCGGAAUUACUGGGCGUAAAGGGCGCGUAGGCGGUUUGACAAGUUGGAUGUGAAAGCCCUGGGCUCAACCCGGGAAUUGCAUUCAAGACUGUCUUACUUGAAUUCGGUAGAGGUGAGUGGAAUUCCCAGUGUAGAGGUGAAAUUCGUAGAGAUUGGGAAGAACACCAGUGGCGAAGGCGGCUCACUGGACCGACAUUGACGCUGAGGCGCGAAAGCGUGGGGAUCAAACAGG
rnacentral:rRNA from 1 species